GGAUUUCACCAUGUUAGGCAGGAUGGUCUUGAUCUCCUAACCUCGUGAUCCACCCACCUCGGCCUCCCAGAGUGCUGGGAUUACAGGCGUGAGCCACUGUGCCUGGCCAAUUUUUUUUUUUUUUAAAGAGACAGAGUCUCACUUUGUUGCCCAGGCUGGUCUUGAACUCCUGGGCUCAAGUAAUCCUCCUGCCUUGGCCUCGCAAAGUACUGGGAUUACAGGUGUGAGCCACCACACCCGGGCUCUGUGAUUUGUUUGUUUUUUGAGAUGGAGUCUCGCACUGUCAUCCAGGCUGGAGUGCAAUGGUGCAAUCUCCGCUCACUGCAAACUCCGCCUCCCUGGCUCAAGUGAUUCUCCUGCCUCAGCCUCCCGAGUAGCUGGGAUUACAGGCACAUGCCACUGCGCCAAGCUAAUUUUUGUAUUUUUAGUAGAAACGGGGUUUCACCAUGUUGCCUGGGCUGGUCUUGAAUUCCUGACCUCAGGUGAUACUUGCCUCGCCCUCCCAAAGUGCUUGGAUUACAGGCGUGAGCCAGUGCGCCCAGCCGCCUCUGUGAUUUUUUAAAUUGUGUCACUCACACUAAAUUUAACAGCAAUUUUUUUGAUAACUCAUUUUUUUUGUAGUCUUUCUAGAACAUUAAACUUAGUUUUCAUAGAAAUUGCAAUUCUCUUUGUAU
rnacentral:lncRNA from 10 species